AUGAAUAUCCUUGGCUGGAACUGCCGAGGGGCGGGGAACCCUCGGACAGUUCGUGAUCUUGUGAGCUUGGUGCAGGCUCAGUCCCCUAGUAUCGUCUUCCUUUGUGAAACUAGGCAGCCAAAAAAUAAAAUGAAGAGACUGCGUGCUCGUUUAGGUUUAAGAAGUUUUGAUGCUUUCGAUUGUAAUGGUCUUAGUGGUGGUCUUGCCUUGUAUUGGCAUGAGUCAGUGAGUCUUGAUGUAAAAGAAAUAAAUGAACGAUACAUUGAUGCGUAUGUGACUGGUGUGGCGGGUGAGCCACCCUGGCGGCUUACCUACGUCUAUGGUGAGCCUCGGACGGAGGAUCGUUGUCGUAUGUGGACAAUGCUUCGUAAUCUCCACCAACAGGCCAGCAUGCCGUGGGUCGUGGUGGGAGAUUUUAACGAAGCGAUGUGGAGUUUUGAGCACUUCUCCGACACACCACGUUCCGCAGGUUAG
rnacentral:rRNA from 1 species